rnacentral:rRNA from 1 species
UGCAGUCGAGCGGACAGAAGGGAGCUUGCUCCCGGAUGUUAGCGGCGGACGGGUGAGUAACACGUGGGUAACCUGCCUGUAAGACUGGGAUAACUCCGGGAAACCGGAGCUAAUACCGGAUAGUUCCUUGAACCGCAUGGUUCAAGGAUGAAAGACGGUUUCGGCUGUCACUUACAGAUGGACCCGCGGCGCAUUAGCUAGUUGGUGAGGUAACGGCUCACCAAGGCGACGAUGCGUAGCCGACCUGAGAGGGUGAUCGGCCACACUGGGACUGAGACACGGCCCAGACUCCUACGGGAGGCAGCAGUAGGGAAUCUUCCGCAAUGGACGAAAGUCUGACGGAGCAACGCCGCGUGAGUGAUGAAGGUUUUCGGAUCGUAAAGCUCUGUUGUUAGGGAAGAACAAGUGCAAGAGUAACUGCUUGCACCUUGACGGUACCUAACCAGAAAGCCACGGCUAACUACGUGCCAGCAGCCGCGGUAAUACGUAGGUGGCAAGCGUUGUCCGGAAUUAUUGGGCGUAAAGGGCUCGCAGGCGGUUUCUUAAGUCUGAUGUGAAAGCCCCCGGCUCAACCGGGGAGGGUCAUUGGAAACUGGGAAACUUGAGUGCAGAAGAGGAGAGUGGAAUUCCACGUGUAGCGGUGAAAUGCGUAGAGAUGUGGAGGAACACCAGUGGCGAAGGCGACUCUCUGGUCUGUAACUGACGCUGAGGAGCGAAAGCGUGGGGAGCGAACAGGAUUAGAUACCCUGGUAGUCCACGCCGUAA